rnacentral:rRNA from 1 species
UACGUAGGGUGCAAGCGUUGUCCGGAAUUAUUGGGCGUAAAGAGCUCGUAGGCGGUCUGUUGCGUCGGCUGUGAAAACCCGGGGCUCAACCCCGGGCCUGCAGCCGAUACGGGCAGACUAGAGUUCGGCAGGGGAGACUGGAAUUCCUGGUGUAGCGGUGAAAUGCGCAGAUAUCAGGAGGAACACCGGUGGUGUAGACGGCUUUCUGGACCGUAACUGACGCUGAGACGCGAAAGCGUGGGGAGCAAACAGG